rnacentral:rRNA from 1 species
UGACCGCUGGCGGCGUGCUUACCACAUGCAAGUCGAACGGAAAGGCUCCUGCUUGCAGGGGUACUCGAGUGGCGAACGGGUGAGUAACACGUGGGUGAUCUGCCCUGCACUUCGGGAUAAGCCUGGGAAACUGGGUCUAAUACCGGAUAGGACCACAUUUUGGAUGGUGUGGUGGAAAGUUUUUCGGUGUGGGAUGAGCUCGCGGCCUAUCAGCUUGUUGGUGGGGUAAUGGCCUACCAAGGCGUCGACGGGUAGCCGGCCUGAGAGGGUGUACGGCCACAUUGGGACUGAGAUACGGCCCAGACUCCUACGGGAGGCAGCAGUGGGGAAUAUUGCACAAUGGGCGCAAGCCUGAUGCAGCGACGCCGCGUGGGGGAUGACGGCCUUCGGGUUGUAAACUCCUUUCGCUAGGGACGAAGCGCAAGUGACGGUACCUGGAGAAGAAGCACCGGCUAACUACGUG